rnacentral:rRNA from 1 species
UACGAAGGGGGCUAGCGUUGCUCGGAAUCACUGGGCGUAAAGCGCACGUAGGCGGAUCUUUAAGUCAGAGGUGAAAUCCCAAGGCUCAACCUUGGAACUGCCUUUGAUACUGGGGAUCUCGAGUCCGGGAGAGGUGAGUGGAACUGCGAGUGUAGAGGUGAAAUUCGUAGAUAUUCGCAAGAACACCAGUGGCGAAGGCGGCUCACUGGCCCGGUACUGACGCUGAGGUGCGAAAGCGUGGGGAGCAAACAGG